UACGGGGGGGGCAAGCGUUGUUCGGAAUUACUGGGCGUAAAGGGUUCGUAGGUGGCCUGCUAAGUCAGACGUGAAAUCCCUCAGCUUAACUGGGGAACUGCGUCUGAUACUGGAAGGCUUGAGUGCAGGAGAGGAACGCGGAAUUCCAGGUGUAGUGGUGAAAUGCGUAGAUAUCUGGAGGAACACCGGUGGCGAAGGCGGCGUUCUGGACUGCAACUGACACUGAUGAACGAAAGCCAGGGGAGCAAACGGG
rnacentral:rRNA from 1 species